rnacentral:siRNA from 1 species
GGUCUAUUGUCUCUCUACUACCA